CCGUGUGACACUGCCCAGAGCAGUGCCUUGAGAACUUUUGCAGCAGGGAAAGUGGUUUGGAGAAGCGUGCCUGGGAGACGAUGUGGCACUGCCUAGCUGGGUCCUUGGCUGACAGAGGUGAGGGUAGGGCUCAUAGGGACUUGGUAAUGCUGUGAAUUAUGUAUGUGUGGCAGGAAGGUGCCACAAUGCCAAGGUCCCACGUCUUCGAAAUUCCAUGAGGUCCGCAUGAAGUUGAAAUAAACACCAAGGGCAGUCCUCAAGGGAAAAAUAAAAGAAACCUCCACAUAAUGGACUCUUUGGAACUGAGUCUGGAAGAGAGGGCUGCCUGGUCCACUCCAGGAGAAUUUGCCUAAAAGAAGUUUGCUUCCCAUUGUAUUCUCUUUGCUUGUUCUAAAUAUCACCUCCUCCCCAUUCCUGUAAUUUGCAUCAUUCUGGGCUCCUUACUUUUGCUGCAUCCUUUUUUUACAUUUUAAGGACGCCUGGAUUCGAUUUACAUAGGAGCACAUAAGGCUUAAUUUUGUAUUUCUGGUAAUCAUUUAUUACAUUUCCCCCAUUUUAUCAAAUGGCACGUUUUUCUCAUGUCUAUUUUUAAUAUGUUAAAAAUUUUGUAUCCAGUUUAUCUAAAACUCCUUGCUUAAAAUGAGUUUAAUUCUAGCAAGCUAUACAUGCUUAUCGCUGCAUUGUUUUAUAAUUUGAUGAUAAAUGUUUUCCCCCAAUAUAUGACUGUAUGGAUACUUUUUAAAAAGAUACAAUAAAAUCCGAUCUCUCUGUCUCACUUGAUUAAGUGGCUGAACGAGUCAAUACCUCCAUCAAAUAGAAAUAUCCGGCCUCACUUAACCUAAUAAAUAAGAACAUUCAGUGUGCACGUGCACCCACGAUGAGAAGACCAAAGCAAACAGCCAAAAAGGAGAGAAUCCCAUGAUUUCUGUGUAAACUCCUACAGGUAACAUAAAUAUUUAUUGCUAGAAACAGUAUUUUAAAUAAAAGGUUUUCAGGCAAGUGUAUUAAAACUGCCUUGGAUACAAGGGCCCUAUCACUUGUAAAACUUAGCAAAUCGGAUGACGAUUAAAAAUACAAAAUUACACAGAAAAUACCCUUCAAUAAAUUGAUUUUUUUUUUUUUUUUUUUUUUUUUUUUUUUUUUAAUUGAGACGGAGUUUGCCUCUUGUUGCCCAGGCUGCAGUGUAAUGGCGUGAUCUUGGCUCACUGCCACUUCUUCCUCCGGGUUCAAGCGACUCUCCUGACUCAGCCUCCGCAGUAUCUGGGAUUACAGGCAUGUGCCACCAUUCUCGGCUAAUUUUGUAUUUUUAGUAGAGAUAGGGUUUCUCAAUUUUGUUCAGGCUAGUCUCAAACUCCCAACCUGAGGUCAUCCGCCAGCCUCGGCCUCCCAGAGAGCUGGGAUUACAGGCGUGAGCCACCGCGCCCGGCCUAAUAAAUCGAUCUUUAAAAAAAUCUUCAUUGAGGUAUUCUAAAGGGAGUCUUUAAGGCCACAUGCCCGCUAGGUGUACUGAUUCCUAGGGUGGUUGGUGUCAGGCGAAUCAACGUGGCUCCUCCCCCAGCCCCUUCCUGGGAGCAUCCUAGAGAGACAGCGUGGAAACGCACGCGGCCCGGUGGUCCCGGGAGCGGCCAUGGUGCCCAGCCCCGCGGCCUCCUCCUGCCCUCGAACCCCAUGUCAAGCAUCCGCGGACUCUCACGUCCUCUUCUUACAGGGCGGCGGGCGCUUUUCCUGCACCUUGGCCUAGCACUUCUUCUAGGCCUCCUCCGCCUCCCGUUUCUCCUCCUUGGUCACCUUGUAAGGCCACUUUGGUAUCCGCAGGUGGCUGCUGUCCUUUGUGCUGCCCUUCCGCGCCGACCUCUCCGGACUGGAAGGUGGGCGCCGGCUCCAUGCUGAGGCUGACCUGGGGCACCACCACGCCGGCCACAAGCUGCUCCGCUGAAAGCCCUGCAGGGGCAGAGGCUGGCCUUCCGCGGGGCGGGGGUAGCGGAGCCCCAGGACCCCUGUAUGUGGGGCAGGUGGGAGGCCGGCUCUUGCGGAGCCCUCCUGGGAGCCCGCGGCCGCUGGGCUGGGCCGCUUGGGCUGCUCUGCGCCCUCCGCUUCCCUGCCUUCUGCGCCCGCCCCUCCCCAACCCCUCGCCGCGCCGCCAGAAUUUCCUGCAGAGCCAGGAUUUCCUGCAGCGCCAGCCGCCUCUUACGCACGCACAGAGUGCUCUCGGGGGACAGUGUCUGGCACGCGAUGGCCACGGCGGGGCUGUUAAGAGGCUC
rnacentral:lncRNA from 1 species